rnacentral:rRNA from 1 species
CCAGACUCCUACGGGAGGCAGCAGUGGGGAAUAUUGCACAAUGGGGGGAACCCUGAUGCAGCGACGCCGCGUGAGUGAAGAAGUAUUUCGGUAUGUAAAGCUCUAUCAGCAGGGAAGAAAAUGACGGUACCCGACUAAGAAGCCCCGGCUAACUACGUGCCAGCAGCCGCGGUAAUACGUAGGGGGCAAGCGUUAUCCGGAUUUACUGGGUGUAGAGGGAGCGCAGGCGGCGUGGCAAGUCAGAUGUGAAAACCCGGGGCCCAACCCCGGGAGUGCAUUUGAAACUGCCAUGCUGGAGUGCCGGAGAGGUAAGCGGAAUUCCUAGUGUAGCGGUGAAAUGCGUAGAUAUUAGGAGGAACACCAGUGGCGAAGGCGGCGUACUGGACGGUAACUGACGUUGAGGCUCGAAAGCGUGGGGAGCAAACAGGAUUAGAUACCCCGGUAACU